rnacentral:rRNA from 1 species
CACUGUCACUCCUACGGGAGGCAGCAGUGGGGAAUAUUGCACAAUGGGCGCAAGCCUGAUGCAGCCAUGCCGCGUGUAUGAAGAAGGCCUUCGGGUUGUAAAGUACUUUCAGCAGUGAGGAAGGUGGAUAUGUUAAUAGCAUAUUCAUUUGACGUUAGCUGCAGAAGAAGCACCGGCUAACUCCGUGCCAGCAGCCGCGGUAAUACGGAGGGUGCGAGCGUUAAUCGGAAUUACUGGGCGUAAAGCGCAUGCAGGUGGUUUGUUAAGUCAGAUGUGAAAGCCCCGGGGCUCAACCUCGGAAUAGCAUUUGAAACUGGCAGACUAGAGUACUGUAGAGGGGGGUAGAAUUUCAGGUGUAGCGGUGAAAUGCGUAGAGAUCUGAAGGAAUACCGGUGGCGAAGGCGGCCCCCUGGACAGAUACUGACACUCAGAUGCGAAAGCGUGGGGAGCAAACAGGAUUAGAUACCCUGGUAG